UGGCUCAGUGGUAGAGUGCUUGCCUUACAUGCAUGAGGCCCUGGGUUUGAUUUCUCAG
rnacentral:tRNA from 1 species